UACGAAGGGGGCUAGCGUUGCUCGGAAUCACUGGGCGUAAAGGGCGCGUAGGCGGCCUGGCAAGUGGAAGGUGAAAUCCCUCGGCCUUAACCGAGGAACUGCCCUCCAAACUGCUUGGCUUGAGACCGGGAGAGGUGAGUGGAAUUCCCAGUGUAGCGGUGAAAUGCGUAGAUAUUGGGAGGAACACCAGUGGCGAAGGCGGCUCACUGGACCGGUACUGACGCUGAG
rnacentral:rRNA from 1 species